rnacentral:rRNA from 1 species
UUAUAAUAAAUAUUUAAUAAUUUAUGUUUAUUUUUAGUCUUACCGUAAUGGAAUUAUUUAGUACUAAAUGUCUUGUAGAUCUUACCUUUUGUAUAAUGGUUGAACAAAAAUAUAAUUAUUUAAUUAUUCCCGAAUUAAGAAGAGCCAUUUACUAGCCCUUCUUAGAGUAAAAACUUAUGUAGCAAUAUGGGCCUUAGACUAGUAAAUAGGGGUGAAAUGCCUUUCAAUUCUUAGGAUAUCUGGAAGUUAAGGAAAAGCAUUUAGUGCUGGCUAGGUGAGAUACAAAAUGCUUAGGUUUUGUAUAAUUAGGAUUAAAAAUGAGGUAAAUCUUUCUAGGGUUAAGCUCUUAGAUAAAAUUUAAAAAAAUCAAUUAAUCAUUUUAAAAUCUAAAAACUACUUUUCUUUUCACAAUAAUUUGUUUGUGGGUUAAUAAUGUUUAAAUUAGUAAUAAAUUUUACAGAACUAAAAUUUGCUUAUUCAUCAAAAAUUUUUAGUACGAAAUAACUUUAAGGAACUCGGCAAAUAUAGACUUGGACUGUUUACCAAAAACAUAGCCAGUAGAUGAUAUUGUUGGUUUAACCUGCCCAAUGUGAAUUAAUAUGAAUGGCCGCGGUACUCUGACCGUGCUAAGGUAGCGUAAUCAGUUGGCUUUUAAAUGGAGUCAGGAAUGAAUGGGAAAACCUGGUCUAGCUGUCUCAAAGUUACUAUAUUGAAUUUACUGUCCAAGUGAAAAAGCUUGGGUGAGAAAAAGGGACGAGAAGACCCUUAGAAUUUGUUUUUAAAAAGUUUAAUCAACUUUGUGAUUUUGUUGGGGCGACAUGGAAAUAGUUAAAACUUUCCUAUAAAACAUGCCGAUUAUGUUAAGUAAGGAUAAAUUACCUGAGGGAUAACAGCAUAAUUCUACUAUUGAGUUUGUGACCUCGAUGUUGGACUAGGAAACUAGCAGGCCAGCCGUUUGCUGUGUGGGUUCUGUUCGAACUUUAAUUCCU